GACGAACCGAGCGAACGUUGCUCGGAAUCACUGGGCUUAAAGGGCGCGUAGGCGGGUGCUCAAGUCUGUGGUGAAAUCCUCCGGCUCAACCGGAGAACUGCCAUGGAUACUGGGUGCCUCGAGGGUGGUAGGGGUAUGCGGAACUAUCGGUGGAGCGGUGAAAUGCGUUGAUAUCGAUAGGAACUCCGGUGGCGAAGGCGGCAUACUGGACCACUUCUGACGCUGAGGCGCGAAAGCCAGGGGAGCAAACGGG
rnacentral:rRNA from 1 species